GGCGCCGCCGCCGGCCUCGCCUGGCCUGGCUGAGGGGAGGCGGCGGGCGGGCGCGAUGGCGGAGGCCGGGCCACAGGCGCCGCCGCCCCCGGGGACUCCAAGCCGGCACGAGAAGAGUCUGGGACUUCUCACCACCAAGUUCGUGUCGCUCUUGCAGGAAGCCAAGGACGGCGUGCUUGACCUCAAGCUGGCAGCCGACACUCUUGCCGUGCGCCAGAAACGGCGGAUCUACGACAUCACCAACGUGCUGGAAGGCAUCGGUUUGAUCGAGAAGAAAUCCAAGAACAGCAUCCAGUGGAAGGGCGUCGGGCCAGGUUGCAAUACCCGGGAGAUCGCUGACAAGCUGAUUGAGCUCAAGGCAGAGAUCGAGGAGCUGCAGCAACAGGAGCAAGAACUGGACCAGCACAAGGUGUGGGUGCAGCAGAGCAUCCGGAAUGUCACUGAGGACGUCCAGAACAGCUGCUUGGCCUACGUGACUCAUGAAGACAUCUGCAGAUGCUUUGCUGGAGAUACCCUCCUUGCCAUCCGAGCGCCAUCGGGCACCAGUCUAGAGGUGCCCAUCCCAGAGGGUCUCAAUGGCCAGAAGAAGUACCAGAUUCACUUAAAGAGCAUGAGUGGGCCUAUCGAGGUGCUGCUAGUGAACAAGGAGGCCUGGAGUUCACCACCCGUGGCUGUGCCCGUCCCUCCCCCUGAUGAUCUACUCCAGAGUCCACCUGCUGUUUCUACACCUCCACCUCUGCCCAAGCCUGCCUUAGCUCAACCCCAAGAAUCGUCUCCUCCAAGCAGCCCCCAGCUAAAU